rnacentral:lncRNA from 1 species
CUCCCCCUAGUUACAUGAGCUUUUCCUUUAAGACCUUUAAUUAAUACAGUGGGUCCCAUAUGAAGAGGGAUCAUACCAACAAAUCUCUUCCUCCCGACUCAUAUGAGAGGUUCUAUCAAGUCUGCAAUACUCUUGCUCCUUCAUUGCCUUCAACUACUACUCACUAUGCUGGUACUCCUUGGCUUCGGAGUAGGACUCCUUAUUGAGCCUAAAUGAGCCUA